rnacentral:rRNA from 1 species
GUAGGUGGCAAGCGUUGUCCGGAAUUAUUGGGCGUAAAGCGCGCGCAGGGCGGUUUUUUAAGUCUGAUGUGAAAGCCCACGGGCUCAACCGUGGAGGGUCAUUGGAAACUGGAGAACUUGAGUACAGAAGAGGAAAGCGGAAUUCCACGUGUAGCGGUGAAAUGCGUAGAGAUGUGGAGGAACACCAGUGGCGAAGGCGGCUUUCUGGUCUGUAACUGACGCUGAGGCGCGAAAGCGUGGGGAGCAAACGGGAUUAGAUACCCUGGUAGUCCACGCCGUAAACGAUGAGUGCUAAGUGUUAGGGGGUUUCCGCCCCUUAGUGCUGCAGCUAACGCAUUAAGCACUCCGCCUGGGGAGUACGGCCGCAAGGCUG